CACGUAGGGACCAAGCGUUGUCCGGAUUCAUUGGGCGUAAAGAGCUCGUAGGCGGUUCGAUAAGUCGGGUGUGAAACCUCCAGGCUCAACCUGGAGACGCCACCCGAUACUGUCGUGACUAGAGUCCAGUAGGGGAGCGUGGAAUUCCUGGUGUAGCGGUGAAAUGCGCAGAUAUCAGGAGGAACACCGGUGGCGAAGGCGGCGACCUGGUCCUUUACUGACGCUGAGGCGCGAAAGCGUGGGGAGCAAACAGG
rnacentral:rRNA from 1 species